rnacentral:lncRNA from 1 species
AGUCGGGGCCUGUUUGACUUGAGAAAACAGAUGUUUCCCAACCCAGCUUCUGUCAGCAAAAGCGUCCAAAGCAGCAGAAUCGAAUUACCCAAUGACCUGCCAAGUACAGUGCAGGGGGAAAUUAACUGGCAUAAUUCAUUAGCUGGAUGGAUGGUACCAGUGUCGCACCUCUCCCACGAGACCGAGAAUCCUCUUCCCCAUCUUCAGAGGAGGCAUUUACGGCCAGAUACCCGGUGGAGGGUUCUGGGGGUUCUCUGGCCAUCUCGGGCUAGGUGGAGGAUGCUGCCCCUCCGCGGGUCCACCCCAUGCUUCACGGACAGAGUCAAGUGAGGAGCUGCAUGCCAGAAACCCGAUGGGGCGUGCCGGGACUUCCCUGGCCAUCUCGGGCGAGCUGGAGGCUGCUGUCGGGCCCUCGGCGGGUCCACCCCGUGCUUGACAGAGCCGAGUCGAGUGAGGAGGAGCUGCACGCCAGAAACCCGGUUGGGCGUGCCGGGCCUCCCCCGGCCAUCUCGGGCGAGCUGGAGGCUGCUGCCCGCCCCUCGGCGGGUCUACCCCGUGCUUGACAGAGCCCAGUCGAGCGAGGAGGAGCUGCCCGCCAGAAACCCGGUGGGGCGUGCCGGGCCUCCCCCGGCCAUCUCAGGCGAGCUGGAGGCUGCUGCCCGCCCCUUGGCCAGAAACCCGGUGGGGCGUGCCGGGCCUUCCCCGGCCAUCUCGGGCGAGCUGGAGACUGCUGCCCGCCCCUUGGCGGGUCUACCCCGUGCUUGACAGAGCCCAGGUGAGCGAGGAGGAGUUGCCCGUGAGUCCUGGGGGCGGGGACGGGGUGGGGAGGAGUGGGAGAACCCUCGGAGUCGCCCUCGUCGUCGCCCGGGAAGGCUCGCGGACCGAGCUGCUGCCCAGCCAGGCCCUGGAGGAAAAGGCCUCCUCCUGUCUUCCCCCAAAUGCGCAGGAGGAGGAGGAGGAUUCGGCUUCGCAGGAGCUUUCCCCAGAGGCCAGCCGGGUCACCUUCUUUUUCCCCUCAUUGUCCCUAACCUUUUCUCCUGGUCUGCCCUUUUUCCCUGUUGUGACCUUUUCCCCAGCCAAACCAUUUCUCCUGGCCUCACCUGUUCGCCUGGGCAAACCUUUUCCCCUCAUCUGACCUUUUCCUCUAGCCGAACUUUCUCCCUGGCCUCACCUUUUUCCCUAGGCAAUCCUUUUCCCUUAGCGAAAACUUUUCU